UCUUUCAGCCGUGCCCUCUAAGCCUCCUGCAGGCCCUGUCUUUAUAUAUCGACUUGGACUCUUCCGAGGCCCUGUCCCUACUGUGUCUCCCUGGCCCCUUCCAAAUGGGUUCCGCCCCGACAGGCCCCCUAGAUCUGCAGGUUUCUUGCCCUCAGCAGCCUCUACACCCUACCUCUUCCCGCCUUCAGACCCCGCCCUGUCCUGCUCCUUAAGGUCCCGCCCCUUGGGGAACCUCAAACGCCCGGGCGCCCCGCCCUCCUCCCGCCUUUGGGAGCCCGCUCAUGGUCUCCCGGUCUGGAAAGCUGUUGGAGCCGUGGGGCCGUGGAACGGUUCAUGGGGAUCUGCAGUGUCAUCAGAUUACCUGCAAGCCUGUAGAAGAGGAAGGAUAUGCCAGUGAUCACUUCGGAGGUGACAGAGGAACCUUCCUUUCCUUACGCUCAUUAUACAUAUGAGGAAACUGAAAGCACGAAAAGGGCUGCGGACCCAGACUGGCCUGGCAAGGAUGUGCGCUCCGCAACAAAAGAAGCCAUUGCAAUAAGAAGCCUGUGCACCACAACGAAGAGUAGCCCCCGCUCGCCACAACUAGAGAAAGCCCACGCCCAGCAAUG